GCGGCGGUAGCCGGUGUCCAGGCCGCCGCUCGCCUCGGUGAGUUCGGCGGCGAAGGACCCGUACCGCUGGUUGGAGGCCGUCCCGAGGCGC
rnacentral:tRNA from 1 species